UUGAUUUAGAAAUAAAAUGGAGUAUAAUCGUGUGUUUGACCCUUCGUCUCCUCAUAUUCCAUGUAUUUUACUUUUAAGUGGUUGAUGGCGUUUAUAACGGUGAAGGAAAAACGAUAGUGAUCGUUAUUAUAAAUUCAUUCUUACAUAACGUAAACGAGUAGAAAAAGGAUGAGGGAAAAAAUCAAAGAAUCCAUUUCCUUUCGGAUCUUGAAAGAAUUUGUCAAGCAAUGAUGUCAUUCAUUUUUUAGUUAUGGCUUUUUCUUCUAUAUUAAAGUAUUAUAUCGGUACUUUUUUACAAGUGGAACAAAGUUUGCCGCUUUAAUGGACUUUUCAAUUAUGGUUUAUGAUUACGUAGCCUUCCAUAGGGAGAAAGGUAUACAUAAUAAGUGUUGCGGUGGAAAGUUUUGGUGCAUCAAGGAUAUUUGUGGAAUUAUAUGUGCGGUCCUGACAUGGUUGCUAAUAAUUUAUGCGGAAUUUGUAGUUAUGGCUGUUAUCCUUAUUCCUUCUAUAAAUACUUUAUAUUCAGGCCUAAACAUGGCAGUGUUUCAAUCCUUAGCAUUUUUGGCAUUUGCUUCUCAUUUAAGGACAAUGUUUACAGAUCCAGGUGCUGUACCAAAGGGCAAUGCGACAAAAAAAAUGAUACAACAAAUGGGAUUCCGGGAAGGUCAAGUUAUCUUUAAAUGUCCAAAAUGUUGUUCUAUAAAGCCGGAUAGAGCUCAUCAUUGUUCGGUUUGUCAAAGAUGUAUUAGGAAAAUGGAUCAUCAUUGCCCAUGGGUUAACAACUGUGUCGGCGAAAAUAAUCAAAAAUACUUUGUAUUGUUUACUUUUUACAUAGCAGGUAUAUCCCUACAGUCUCUUCUUUUGUGCAUACAACAAUUUACAACGUGCGUGAGGCAAGAAUGGAGAGAAUGUUCGACGUUUAGUCCACCUGCGACCGUUGUCCUUUUACUAUUUCUAGCAUUCGAAGCACUUUUAUUUGCCAUUUUUACAGCUGUAAUGUUGGGAUCGCAAUUGCAGGCUAUUUGGAAUGAUGAAACUGGUAUAGAACAACUUAAAAAAGAGGAAGCACGAUGGGUUCGUAAUAGCAGAUGGAAAUCCAUACAGGCCGUUUUUGGUAGAUUUUCUAUUGCUUGGUUUUCUCCCUUUACUUCGCCUCCGAAUGCAAAAAAGAAGUUAGAUGCCUAUUUAUAUACUGUAUAAGUUAUUUGGAUAUGUGAUUGUGACACAAAUAUUUAAUACAUGUAAAUAUAAGAAAAUGUAAUGAUGCUGUUUUCCAAAAUAUCAUAUAUACAAGUAGCAGUGAAAAAUACAUAUUAACACAAUAACAUUCCUCCAAGAAGCUAUUAGUAGUUACUUCACAACAAUUUUGGGAGAACCUUUCCAGAAUAGUUCCAUGGGAACAUACUUGAUCUAUGGAUAUUAGUCAGUACGUUGUAAGAUUAAUUUGCAAAUUUCGUAAAAAAUUGUUUAGUUAUAUUUUUUUAUUUAUUACAAAAUACAAUGCGAGAAUUCGUACAGAUUAAAAGUGUAAUAAUAAAUGGUGAUAACGUAAUAGUACAAGUACUUAAGAAGUAUAAUUUUUAAAUAUUUACAUAAACAUAAAAUUUACAUUUAUUCGUUGUCUAUUUAACAUAGAUUUUUAUAUACAUACGAAUCAUAUCUUUAUGCGCUUAUUUAUUUAAGCGCAGAUGAAAGUAUUUUAAAGAAAUUAUACGAGAAUGACGAUCUGUUUAUUUGUUAUAUUAUUUGAUAUGUUAAUUUAACAUGAUUCGUUUAAUAAGACUUUUUCUAAUUGAAGUAAGAGAAAAACUACCAAAUAAAAUUAUAUUUUUUCUUCUUUCAUAUUGCAUCUAAUGCAAGGCAAUCUUGCAUAUAUUAUAUAUCAAUGAAAAUGUUCGAUCUUAACGAAUGAAUAAUAUAUUUAAAUAUAUUUAAUAUUUCCCUAUCACAUUAUGCUACGAACGUAAAUUAUAACACGAGGGAAAUUAUUAAGUAUAACUUAUAGGAAUAAAAUAAUUAUUUCUUCUUUUUAUACGAGGAAUUCUCUCUCUCUCUCUCUCUCUCUCUCUCUCUCUCUCUCUCUCUCUCUCUCUCUC